rnacentral:rRNA from 1 species
AUGCAAAAAAAUUCUGCAUUACCAAGAGUAUUACAGUUUUUGCAACUCCAUACCAAAUAUUUAGUUUUCACAAGUGCCAUAUCGACAUGCACUAUCUACAAUUCAUUAGUAAUUUCAGCACCAUCAAGCUCAGAUUCAGGAUCACAACUUACAAUUGUAGCAAUACCGGUCUCCGUUAUGAUUUUUCAGGCUCAUUAA